UCCCAGACAUUCAGACCCAGCUGACUCUAGCUGGCCGGUAGUGUACAGAUUCCCUCGUCUCUCUCGUUGUUUUGCAUCCAAUACUUCCUUCUUUCCUUCCUCCCUGCCUCUGACCUUUUUCACCAUGUCUGGAGUUCUUUCUCUGACAUGGUAGCAGAGCCUGACAGAUGUCUGAGCUGGACGGCGGGUCGAAGGUCGUAGUCCAGGGUUUCGCCGGUCCGUCUGGUUCCACAGAGGCGGACCUCUGGCUACUCUCUCCCAACCAUGGAGCGUCUUGCAGAGGUCCCGUUAUUUGAGAUGGAUCAGGAGGAGGACGAGGAGGAGGAUGUUCUUUCAAUGAAGAGCAGAGGUGGCUGUGCAUAUGCAACACAUGCUCUUACAGGCACAGACCCCGACACCUUCAUAUACAUGAACUUCAUGAAGAGUCACUGCUGCUACGACGCCAUCCCUACCAGCUCCAAACUGGUCAUUUUUGACACAACACUACAGGUGAAGAAGGCUUUCUUUGCUCUGGUGGCUAAUGGUGUGAGGGCGGCGCCACUGUGGGACAACAAGCUCAAGUGUUUUGUGGGUAUGCUGACCAUCACUGACUUCAUCAAUAUUCUCCAUCGCUAUUACAAGUCUCCUCUGGUUCAGAUUUAUGAGCUGGAAGAACACAAGAUUGAGACAUGGAGAGAAAUCUAUCUUCACUCUGUCAACAGACUGAUCAGCAUCACUCCUGACUGCAGUCUGUUUGAUGCCAUCUACUCCUUGUUGAAGAAUAAGAUACACCGGCUGCCCGUCAUCGACCCAGCAUCAGGAAACGUCCUCCACAUCCUUACUCACAAACGCAUCCUCAAGUUCCUCCACAUCUUUGGGUCUAUGAUUCCUAAACCCAGGUUUCUUCAGAAGCGGAUCAAUGAAAUGGCGAUCGGUACCUUCAAACAGAUUGCGACAGUCCAGGAAACGGCCACUGUUUUUGACGCUCUAACCAUUUUUGUAGAGAGAAGAGUGUCCGCUCUGCCUGUGGUAAAUGAAGAAGGUAAAGUCGUGGCUCUGUACUCCAGGUUUGAUGUCAUUAAUCUCGCAGCUCAGAAAAACUACAACAACCUGAACAUGACGAUGCGUGAGGCCAUUUCCUCCAGAGCCUGCUGGGUGGAGGGAGUCCUCAAGUGUUACCCUUACGAAACCCUGGAGACCAUCAUCGACCGCAUUGCAAAAGCUGAGGUGCAUCGUUUGGUGUUGGUUGACAAAGAUGAUGUGGUGAGAGGGAUUGUCUCUCUAUCUGACCUACUACAAGCCCUGGUUCUCACUCCUGCAGGUAUUGAUGCACUGUACUCCUAACUCCAACCCUCCUGUUCAUCCUUCGCUCUUUCUUUUUCUCCAUCGCUCUGCCUUCAAAUCCUCGAAAGCUUCCUGCUUCAUCUGGUGAUCUAUGGUCCUCGUGUUCCAACUGACCGAAAUCUUCUUCAUCUUCAACUUUUCAUCCCCCUGAAGACAAUGAGGGUCUUUUUUCUCCUGCUUUUUCCUGUGAAAUUUGAUGGUGUCAGAGUUGCAACUGACAAUUUUCUCCAGCUCUGAAAUCUCCCAAUCAUUUCAAGAAUACUUGACAAGGAUAUAUUUAAUCAUCAACCAAACUACACCCCUCAGGGAUUCAUCUAAAGCACCCCUGCUCCUUAAAGAUCAACCUGACAACCCAAUAGCCAGAAUAAAUGCUUGCAUUGUAAGUUUCUGCAAACCACAGGACGUAACAUUGAUUUAAAUUUGGUUAGGUUUAGGCACAAAGGAAAAGCAGCAAAGUCUUGAACAGUGAUCUGCAGUUUGGCAGGCGUGUCCUCUAGUGUUGAUAUGAUACAUUUAAAAUGGACGAAUAUAAUACGGUCUGCAGAAACAUAUAGUGCUAACAUUCAUUUCUGGGCACUGGGCUGCAAAUAACCAACUUCAACCAACCACCUCAUCUGAAACCUCACUGGGAACCAACGUCCUUGAAGCAUCAAACAAAAUGUCCCCGGCAUCUGCUCUGAUACAAUUUGCCCUUGGAAAAAAAAAAAAAUCGCCUUUAAAACUCUCUCCAGCCACAGUCAACUUUGCUUUAACUAUAACAUACUUGAUCUUCCAAUCCGACUUUAAAACCACUUCAAUUACAUCUACCAAAGUCCUGCAAUCGUACCUCCCAUCAGCCAAGCAGUUUCCCUCCUCUACAUUCUACAAAGUCCGACUCUGGACCUCCACACCCUCUCCCAAACAACCCUCUGUCAUCAGCCAUCCUGCUGCAGCUCCUCCCCUGAAACCACUGUGCCACCAGCACCUCUUAGGCAACACAUCCCAGAUAUUUACAAGGGGUCGUACAUUCAAGACUGAAGAAAACAAGAUGGGGAUUGAUCACGUUAAACAAGACUAUGAGGUGACAAAGUCAAUGAGAGGUUAGCAAAACAAGGUUGUGGCUAAAAAGUCACUGGUUUCUGUACCGGUCCUCAAGACAAGUGUGAAAAGAGAAAGUGAAAAUUACUCUUCCAACAACGUGUCUUUCGAGGUGGUUGCCAGUAGAAGACUGUGGUUGCUACCAGUGUUGAACUGUAUCACAGGUGUGGCAAAGAAAACAGCGUUGAACUGAUGUUGCACAUCCACAGACUCUUAAACUGACCUUGACUAAAGACAAAUUUGUGGUUAUUUUGCAAGUUUUAAGGUGCUAAUGCAACAUGACAAGAAAAAAAUCGGUUAUGUGACAUUUUGACUUGGCUUUAUGGUCUUGUCAUGAAUACAGAUUAGUCAUUAAUUCAUUGAAAAUUUUGGAUCUUGGAAUUGUGAUCACAUUUUUGUAAAUGCACUUAUGCUGAGGUUACUGUGAAAAGAAAAAGAAUGAAAAAACCUUGACAUUUUUAAAUUGUGCUGGAUGUAAUGAGUAAUUAACUUUAGAGACACUAUAUUUUUGUUU